rnacentral:lncRNA from 1 species
UUUAUGAACACACCUAUGUAGAACUUUUCUUGAAUCUACAGCAGGGGCAAGUGGUGGUGCUUAUGGUAGGCAAAUGAUGGGAGAGAUGGGCUUACCCAACCAGUCUAGUUAUGCAGCUGAGUGGUGGUUGUGGAGGUGGUUAUGGUGGUCUGAGUAGUGUGAGUGGUGGUUAUGGAGGUGGUUAUGGAGGUCAGAGCAGCUGAGUCGUGGUUAUGGAGGUGGUUAGGGUGAUCAGAGCAUUGUGAGUGGUGGUUAUGGAGGUGGUUAUGGAGGUCAGAGCAGCUGAGUGGUCGUUGUGGAGGCGGUUAGGGUGAUCAGAGUAGUGUGAGUGGUGGUUAUGGAGGUGGUUAUGGUGAUCAGAGCAGUGUGAGUGGUGGUUAUGGAGGUGGUUAUGGAGGUCAGAGCAGCUGAGUGGUGGUUAUGGAGGUGGUUAUGGAGGUCUGAGCAGUGUGAGUGGUGGUUAUGGAGGUGGUUAUGGUGAUCAGAGCAGUGUGAGUGGUGGUUAUGGAGGUGGUUAUGGAGGUCAGAGCAGCUGAGUGGUGGUUAUGGAGGUGGUUAGGGUGAUCAGAGCAGUGUGAGUGGUGGUUAUGGAGGUGGUUAUGGUGAUCAGAGCAAUGUGAGUGGUGGUUAUGGAGGUGGUUAGGGUGAUCAGAGCAAUGUGAGUGGUGGUUAUGGAGGUGGUUAUGGUGAUCAGAGCAAUGUGGGUGGUGGUUGUGGAGGUGGUUAUGGUGGUCAGAGCAGCUGAGUGGUGGUUAUGGUGGUCAGAGCAGCUGAGUGGUGGUUAUGGAGGUGGUUAUGGUGGUCAGAGCAGUGUGAGUGGUGGUUGUGGAGGUGGUUAUGGUGAUCAGAGCAAUGUGAGUGGUGGUUAUGGAGGUGGUUAUGGUGAUCAGAGCAAUGUGAGUGGUGGUUGUGGAGGUGGUUAUGGUGAUCAGAGCAAUGUGAGUGGUGGUUAUGGAGGUGGUUAUGGUGAUCAGAGCAAUGUGAGUGGUGGUUGUGGAGGCGGUUAUGGUGAUCAGAGCUGUUGAGUGGUGGUUAUGGAGGUGGUUAUGGUGAUCAGAGCAAUGUGAGUGGUGGUUGUGGAGGUGGUUAUGGUGAUCAGAGCAAUGUGAGUGGUGGUUGUGGAGGUGGUUAUGGUGAUCAGAGCAAUGUGAGUGGUGGUUAUGGAGGUGGUUAUGGUGAUCAGAGCAAUGUGAGUGGUGGUUAUGGAGGUGGUUAUGGUGAUCAGAGCAAUGUGAGUGGUGGUUGUGGAGGCGGUUAUGGUGAUCAGAGCUGUUGAGUGGUGGUUAUGGAGGUGGUUAUGGUGAUCAGAGCAAUGUGAGUGGUGGUUGUGGAGGCGGUUAUGGAGGUCAGAGCAGCUGAGUGGUGGUUAUGGAGGUCAGAGCAGUAUGAGUGGUGGUUAUGGUGGUCAGAGCAGUGUGACUGGUGGUUAUGGAGGUGGUUAGGGUGAUCAGAGCAGUAUGAGGGGAUAUGACCACGUUCUGGAGGAAAACUCCAGUGACUGUCAGUCAAAGCUUGGUUAGGUAGAGAAGGAGCACUAAAGAGCUA